GAGUCCCAGAUUCAUCCGAUGACGGGCGCACUUAUUAGAUCAUAAGCCAACCGGGUUUACCUGGCGUUUGUGGUGACUCUGGAUAACUUAGUAUGAUCGCGUCGGCCUAGUUGCCGGCGACGGAUCCAUAAAAUGUCUGCCCUAUCAACUUACGAUGGUAGGUGAUAUGCCUACCAUGGUUAUGACGGGUAACGGGGAAUCAGGGUUCGAUUCCGGAGAGGGAGCCUGAGAAACGGCUACCACAUCCAAGGAAGGCAGCAGGCGCGCAAAUUACCCACUCUCAGAUAGAGGAGGUAGUAAAGACAAAUAUCGAUGCAGGACCCAUAUGAGGCUCUGUAAUCGAAAUGAGUGCAUUAUAAAUCCUACAACAAGGAUCUAUUGGAGGGCAAGUCUGGUGCCAGCAGCCGCGGUAACUCCAGCUCCAAUAGCAUAUAUUAAUAUUGCUGCAGUUAAAAAGCUCGUAGUUGGAUCUGGACAUUGGUGUGGAGGCUAUAGUGUGUGUGUAUGCAGGGGAUUCUUUGUAUGCAUGCAUGCUGUAGUAAUUUUACGCCUUGUCUAAUAGCUGUAUCUGUGUAAAAGCUUGCUUUUAUGCGGAUAUUAGCAAAUGUGAAUUGGGUUUGCAGAAAUGUAGCCUAAUUUCUUUGUUAAUAUGUACCUUCAUGCCUUUAACCGGGUGUGGGGUACGGACAGCACGUUUACUUUGAACAAAUUUGAGUGCUCAAAGCAGGCCUUGUUGCCUGAAAAGUCUUGCAUGGAAUAAUAAAAUAGGACUUCGGUUCUAUUUUGUUGGUUUAACAGAACUGAAGUAAUGAUAAAAAGAGACAGACGGGGGCAUGUGUAUGGCAGCGCGAGAGGUGAAA
rnacentral:rRNA from 1 species